rnacentral:lncRNA from 1 species
CCCUCACAGGCUGGGACCUUUGCUCCCUGCCUGGAAGGCUCUGGCCCCCUGUUGCCAUGGCUGUCCUUUAGUUUGGGAUAAACAGAGCUCUUCCCUCCCAUGUCCAGUUUACUGUCACCAAGUGUCUCCUCCAGGAUGGGCUGGAAUUUCAAGCGACAGACUCCCUAGCCCUCCCCCCAGGGGUGGCUCAAGGACGGUGAGUCACUGAAUGAGGCCGCCUCCACCCCCUCCCCGUUUUCUGGCUUGUCCAGCUGCUCCCUCCUCCCCCAUCUGGAGUUGUGGAGGGAUGGAGUGAAUCAAGCAAGUUCCUGUGCCGCUUUCCGGGGAGGUGCCUUGGUGCUGGUAUUUGAGGCUGGACGGAGUCCGGGAUCCCGGCUUGAGCCCUAUCACUUGCUGGACAGGUUUCUUCUCUAAAUCUCGGAUUCCUCAUCUGUAAAUAAGGGUAACAAUCCAAACCCCAAGGUCAC